GUAUUGGUGGUUUUGUGGUAGAAUUCUUGCCUUCCAUGCUGGAGGCCAAGGUUCAGUUCCUGGUCAAUGUA
rnacentral:tRNA from 1 species